CGGGGUGAGUAAUGCUUGGGAAUCUAGCUUAUGGAGGGGGAUAACUACGGGAAACUGUAGCUAAUACCGCGUAGAAUCGAGAGAUGAAAGUGUGGGACCUUCGGGCCACAUGCCAUAGGAUGAGCCCAAGUGGGAUUAGGUAGUUGGUGAGGUAAAGGCUCACCAAGCCGACGAUCUCUAGCUGGUCUGAGAGGAUGACCAGCCACACUGGGACCGAGACACGGCCCAG
rnacentral:rRNA from 1 species